GUCUUUUUGAGUUUAAUUUAAGGUCUAAUCUGCCCACUGAUAAUAUUUAAGGGCCGCAGUAUUCUGACUGUGCAAAGGUAGCAUAAUCAUUAGUCUUUUAAUUGAGGGCUUGUAUGAAUGAUUGGACGAGAUAUAAACUGUCUCAUAAAAAUUUAAGUAGAAUUUUAUUUUUUAGUUAAAAAGCUAAAAUAAAUUUAAAAGACGAGAAGACCCUAUAGAUCUUUAUAAUUUAUUUAUUAAUUUUUUUAGGUUAUUUUUUAAUUUUAUAAAUUAAAUUAUUUUGUUGGGGUGACAGUGAAAUUUAUAAAACUUUCAUAAUUUUUAUUACAUUGAUUUAUGAUAAAUUGAUCCAUUUUUAGUGAUUAAAAAUUUAAGUUACCUUAGGGAUAACAGCGUAAUUAUUUUGGAGAGUUCCUAUCGAUAAAAUAGUUUGCGACCUCGAUGUUGGAUUAAGAUUAAUUCUGGGUGUAGCAGUUCAGGUUAUUAAGUCUGUUCGACUUUUAAUUUCUU
rnacentral:rRNA from 1 species